rnacentral:tRNA from 1 species
AAGAUUUUAAGUUAAUUUAAAUUUAAACUAUAAACUUUCAAAGUUUACAAAAUAAAAAUUAUUUAUAAAUCUUA